rnacentral:rRNA from 1 species
AUUAAACGCUGGCGGCAUGCCUUACACAUGCAAGUCGAACGGCAGCACGGGGGCAACCCUGGUGGCGAGUGGCGGACGGGUGAGUAACACAUCGGAACGUGCCCUGGAGUGGGGGAUAACGCAGCGAAAGCUACGCUAAUACCGCAUAUUCUGUGAGCAGGAAAGCAGGGGAUCGCAAGACCUUGCGCUUUGGGAGCGGCCGAUGUCGGAUUAGCUAGUUGGUGGGGUAAAGGCUUACCAAGGCGACGAUCCGUAGCGGGUCUGAGAGGAUGAUCCGCCACACUGGGACUGAGACACGGCCCAGACUCCUACGGGAGGCAGCAGUGGGGAAUUUUGGACAAUGGGCGGAAGCCUGAUCCAGCCAUGCCGCGUGAGUGAAGAAGG